GCUUGCUCUCUGGGUGACGAGCGGCGGACGGGUGAGUAAUGUCUGGGAAACUGCCUGAUGGAGGGGGAUAACUACUGGAAACGGUAGCUAAUACCGCAUAACGUCUACGGACCAAAGUGGGGGACCUUCGGGCCUCACGCCAUCAGAUGUGCCCAGAUGGGAUUAGCUAGUAGGUGGGGUAAUGGCUCACCUAGGCGACGAUCCCUAGCUGGUCUGAGAGGAUGACCAGCCACACUGGAACUGAGACACGGUCCAGACUCCUACGGGAGGCAGCAGUGGGGAAUAUUGCACAAUGGGCGCAAGCCUGAUGCAGCCAUGCCGCGUGUGUGAAGAAGGCCUUAGGGUUGUAAAGCACUUUCAGCGAGGAGGAAGGGUAGUGUGUUAAUAGCACAUUGCAUUGACGUUACUCGCAGAAGAAGCACCGGCUAACUCCGUGCCAGCAGCCGCGGUAAUACGGAGGGUGCAAGCGUUAAUCGGAAUUACUGGGCGUAAAGCGCACGCAGGCGGUUUGUUAAGUCAGAUGUGAAAUCCCCGCGCUUAACGUGGGAACUGCAUUUGAAACUGGCAAGCUAGAGUCUUGUAGAGGGGGGUAGAAUUCCAGGUGUAGCGGUGAAAUGCGUAGAGAUCUGGAGGAAUACCGGUGGC
rnacentral:rRNA from 1 species